rnacentral:tRNA from 1 species
GCCUAGUUAGCUCAGUUGGUAGCGCGUCUGCCUUGUAAGCGCUUGGCCGCGGGUUCGAUUCCCGCCCGGGGCG